ACGGGCGGUGUGUGCAAGGAGCAGGGACGUAUUCGCCGAAGUAUGAUAAUCUUCGACUACUAGGAAUUCCAGCGUGACGAGGAUGAGUUGCAAUCCUCGAUCUGAACUAGGGCACGGUUUAGGGGAUUUGCGUCUCCUUUCGGAGUAGCAUCUCAUUGUCCGUACCAUUGCCGCCCGCGUGUAGCCCAGAAGAUUCGGGCCAUACAGACCUAACGUAGCCCGCACUUUCAUCACACUUAUCGCAUGCAAUCCCCUAUGAGUGCGCUUGUUCCGGAGAACAAGCUGGCAACAUAGGGCACGGGUCUCGCUCGUUACCUGACUUAACAGGACGCCUCACGGCACGAGCUGACGUCGGCCAUGCAACACCUCUCAGCGCGUCAAGUAAGCCCUUUAGACUGACCAUCAUUCUGCUGUCGCCUCUGGUAAGGUUUCCGGCGUAGAAUCCAAUUAAACCGCAGACGUCACUCCUUGUGGUGCUCCCCCGCCAAUUCCUUUAAGUUUCAGCCUUGCGACCGUACUCCCCAGGCGGCGCGCUUAUCGGUUACCCUUCGGCACUGGAAAUCCUCUUGAGAUUUCCAAUACCAAGCGCGCAUCGUUAACAGCUAGGACUAAAGGGGUAUCUAAUCCCUGUCGCUCCCCUAGCUUUCGUUCCUCACCGUCAGAUUUGUUCUAGCCAGACGCUUCCGCCACAGGUGGUCUCCUUGGGAUCACAACAUUCCACCGUUACCCCAAGAAUACCUCUGGCUCCUUCCAAUCUCUAGCUUGACAGUAUCCUCCACAAGCCUUAUUGUUUGCA
rnacentral:rRNA from 1 species